rnacentral:rRNA from 1 species
UACGGAGGGUGCAAGCGUUAUCCGGAUUCACUGGGUUUAAAGGGUGCGUAGGCGGCUUAUUAAGUCAGAGGUGAAAGACGGUGGCUCAACCAUCGCAGUGCCUUUGAUACUGAUGAGCUUGAAUAGACCUGAGGUAGGCGGAAUGUGACAAGUAGCGGUGAAAUGCAUAGAUAUGUUACAGAACACCAAUUGCGAAGGCAGCUUACUAAAGUCUGAUUGACGCUGAGGCACGAAAGCGUGGGGAUCAAACAGG